GUGCUUGUAUGCAUAUUUAUAGUUGGGUUGUUAGCAUGUGUACUGGUUAUGUUACGGUAUUUAGGGUGGCACAGCAUUCAUAUUCUUUACAGUAAGUGAAGAGUAGAAGGCAUUUAAUUCCAUAAAAGUUCAACUCAACUUUGCCUCAAUCCCAUGCAAUUGAGUUAGUUAUACUUCAAUUUUGCUUAGUUUGGGCCUAAUGUUUUUAGUAAGGUCUAUGAUGCUAAAACCUUCUUGACUGAUUCCACCGUAUCAUCCAUGGCCUAUCAUAGAACAUGAAGAACCAAGAGUGUGGACUCAUCUAAAACUAUUGUGUUUU
rnacentral:misc_RNA from 1 species